UCCUCCUUAGCUCAGUUGGUAGAGCGCGACACUAGUAUUAAAACGCUAUGUCGAGGUCAGUCGUUCGAGUCGGCUAGGAGGAA